UUCAAAAAUUGGUGGUUUCAGGGCGCGACCACCGCACGUCAAAGGGUUAAUGUAAAUUUUUAAGUCAUUAGUGUGCAACUUAAAUUCAAAAAUUCAUUUCUUAUUUCUGUCAGUCUUCUAUUUUUCAACAGAUAGGUCUUUGUUUUGAGGAAAUGAUUCAAAAAAAAGUUUUUUUAAAUGUUGUAUAAUUAAUAACUUAAAAUGCCCUGAAGAGCACUGCAUUUCGGCGAAACAGUGAAAAUCAGAAUUCAGUCACCGAAAGUGAAGAUGUCAAAAGUGAUAAUAGUGUAUAUGAAAAAGAUCCUUAGUAAAUUGUAUACCAUAUUAUACGAGUAUUUAUAUAGUUCUUAUUUAAGUAAAAAUAGAAGGGGGUUACUUUCUGAUUAUCCACACCAAAAAGUCACAAAAAAGUAUUCAUGAGGCAAAGCAGUAUGUUGCCAAAAUAGUUAUAUGGCAACUCACAGUGUCGCCAAAAAAGUCAUAAAGUGGCAAUCGUGGUAUGUGCAUAGCACAUGUCUGCUUUGGCUAGGGCGUAAUGCUGAAGUUAUGUGAUACCAAGUUUGUGCAAUUAUCUGAUGUUCUUUUAAGUGAAAGCAGAUCGCUGUGUAGAUGCUGAACCAACACCACUGCUGGUGCAACUAAUGUAGCUGCACUGGGGAUCUAGGAAGUGGAGAUAUUGCACUAGACGAUGAAAAGCCUAGUCCUGUGUAGAUGGAAAGAACAGAAGUGCCAAAAAGCUGGAAAUCAUUCAGUCCCAGUUAGAUGCAUUAAGGUAGAAUGAAAUACUGGAAAACAAACUGCUGUUGAUUUACAUUAUAAAAAAAGAAAUGUAGUACGAGAAUUUUUCUGAUGAAACUAUGUGAACUAUUUUGUUUAUAAAUGUAUUAUAUAAUAAAAUUUCUGUUUGUACUAUAA